ensembl:snoRNA
ACCCUUCUGUAGUUCAUAAGCGUGGCGAGUGGAUUUUCACGGGCGCGUGGGACGCGCGCCUUUCCAGAACAUUGUUACACAUCAGCACGCUACCAUCUGAGC